rnacentral:rRNA from 1 species
UACGUAGGGGGCAAGCGUUGUCCGGAUUUAUUGGGCGUAAAGAGCGCGUAGGCGGCCCUGUAAGUCCGCUGUGAAAGUCAAGGGCUCAACCCUUGAAUGCCGGUGGAUACUGCAGGGCUAGAGUCCGGAAGAGGCGAGUGGAAUUCCUGGUGUAGCGGUGAAAUGCGCAGAUAUCAGGAAGAACACCCGUGGCGAAGGCGGCUCUCUGGGACGGUACUGACGCUGAGACGCGAAAGCGUGGGGAGCGAACAGG